rnacentral:snRNA from 1 species
CAUAUAUACUGGAACAAUACAGAGAUUAGCAUGGCCCCUGAGCAAGGAUAACAUGCAAGUUCGUGAAGUGUUCCAUAUUUUU